AACGAACGCUGGCGGCAGGCCUAACACAUGCAAGUCGAACGCCGUAGCAAUACAGAGUGGCAGACGGGUGAGUAACGCGUGGGAACGUUCCUUUCGGUUCGGAAUAACUCAGGGAAACUUGAGCUAAUACCGGAUACGCCCUUCGGGGGAAAGAUUUAUUGCCGCAAGAUCGGCCCGCGUCCGAUUAGCUAGUUGGUGUGGUCAUGCCGUACCAAGGAGACGAUCGGUAGCUGGUCUGAGAGGAUUAUCAGCCACACUGGGACUGAGACACGGCCCAGAGUCCUACGGGAGGCAGCAGUGGGGAAUAUUGGACAAUGGGCGGAAGACUGAUACAGCCAUGCCGCGUGAGUGAUGAAGGCCCUAGGGUUGUAAAGCUCUUUCGCCAGGGACGAUAAUGACGGUACCUGGAUAAGAAGCCCCGGCUAACUUCGUGCCAGCCGCCGCGGUAA
rnacentral:rRNA from 1 species